rnacentral:rRNA from 1 species
GAUGAACGCUGGCGGCGUGCCUAAUACAUGCAAGUCGAGCGAACAGACGAGGAGCUUGCUCCUCUGACGUUAGCGGCGGACGGGUGAGUAACACGUGGAUAACCUACCUAUAAGACUGGGAUAACUUCGGGAAACCGGAGCUAAUACCGGAUAAUAUAUUGAACCGCAUGGUUCAAUAGUGAAAGACGGUUUUGCUGUCACUUAUAGAUGGAUCCGCGCCGCAUUAGCUAGUUGGUAAGGUAACGGCUUACCAAGGCAACGAUGCGUAGCCGACCUGAGAGGGUGAUCGGCCACACGGGAACUGGGACACGGUCCAGACUCCUACGGGAGGCAGCAGUAGGGAAUCUUCCGCAAUGGGCGAAAGCCUGACGGAGCAACGCCGCGUGAGUGAUGAAGGUCUUCGGAUCGUAAAACUCUGUUAUUAGGGAAGAACAAAUGUGUAAGUAGCUAUGCACGUCUUGACGGUACCUAAUCAGAAAGCCACGGCUAACUACGUG